CGGCCAAACAGGUUCCAGCUGCUCUUUGUUGCACUUAAAGCACCAGAGAAGCUGCACUGCUCGCAUGGAUCACUUGAGACCGCAAGAGAGAAAGACUUGGUCUUUGCGCUGACGUCCUUGUGGUGAUUAAUACUAGGACUCUGUGAUUUGCCUCGUGAGAACCUAAUCCGGAGGCUAGGAAGGCUUCAUUGCGAUUGUCGCCAGCUCCUCCCAGAAGGGCUCAGGUCACUCUUCCCCGCCUGGUGCCCUCUACCUGCUCCUCACUGUGUCCGGACUCCCUCACACUCAGGUCUUGGUGACUCCAUGGCCCCAGAUUCUCCUGCCUGAGCCCCAGGACAGACACAGGAGAUUCUGAAGAGAGAACAGAUUCUGUAGCUGCUGAGUCUGCAGCAUCCUUCCCCCUAGCAGCACAGG